AGGCAAAAACACAGGGGUAGAAAAUGCAGAUGUGACUGAGGAGUGUUACUGCAGAAGGGAACACGAUAUUUGGGCAGGCUGUGGAGCUGUUCUAUUGUGCAAUUAUGAAGCAGUUAAUUGAAUAGAAACCAGCCCGGAAAAACAGGAAAGAAAGAACGGGCUGUCUGGAGGUAAUUCACCGUUCAGCAAGCACGGGGGAUUGUUGCUGGACGUGCCAAAGCUGCCAUCUUUGACUUUCAGCUCCCUAGCAAUUGGCCUAGAAGCCUGCCUUGAAACAAGGCAGGAGGGAGGGCAGUCUAUGAAUGGCCUUAGAGAAGGGAGAUGAGGAAAGUUAGCUGUGCUCGUUUCUUUCCAGACACAUUUUUUUGGGGGGAGGUGGUGAGGGAGUGAGAGGAAAAGCAAGUAGAAAUUUUCUACAAUAGAGAUUUUCUCUACAAUACAAAUUUUCUCCACAGUAGAGAUUUUCCUCUAGGCAAUUUUGAAGAUCCUGGGUCUUCUGGUGAAUAUUCCUCUGUAGAUGCCAUAGUUUUACAUGUUGAGAAAGAAUUUUGUUUCCAAAGAGCUAAAUAAUCCAUGUGGAGCACUGGCCACAGACACUUGAGCAGCCCUCUGCAGCCUGUAGCAUCAUUGCAGGUGCAGAGACUUACAGCCCCACUUUCACCUCCAGAGCAGAGCCCCUCUAGCUUAGGAAAGCUCAGGACCAUGAAGUCUGAUGCCUAAGACACCGUGUUGCCAGUUUUAGCAGGGAAGAUAAGCUCUGCCACAAGAACUGCAGCACAGUUACUUUCUUCUCUGACUUUGCUGUGAUGCACCCACCUGAUAUCUCCCACUAAGGGAUGCUUCUCCUUUUGCUCAGCCAGCAACUCCAGGAGAUAAUUUCCUACACGUGUGGCAUUCCCUUGGAGAUCUUCUUUCUCUAUUACAUCCAGCACAGCCAAGCCAAUGGCACAAGACACUGGAUUGCCUCCAAACUGAAAGCAAACACAAAACAAAACAUGUCAUCAAAAUCAAAACCUAUCAAAACAAAACAUUUACCUGGGGCUAUCCGCAUCGUUUUCACUUGCCCUCUCCUGCUUGGCAUGUCAUAAGGAAAGCUCAGAGAGGUGGGGAUUUUGUGGCAUUGAGGCUGUGAAACACCAUCCCCUUCAUUUGGGCAAGGGAAGGGCUCCCUCUUCCUCUGCUCCAGGUUACAGUAAUUUGAAGAUCUCAGGACUGAAGAAUUCAGCUGAUUUCACGUGCAGGCAAAAUGCUCCUGGGAAGAGCAGUGGUUGAUAGAUUUGAUACAUUUGAUAUAUUUUGAUCCAGAGAGUAUAAACUCCAUUUAAAACAGGGAAUUCAGCUGGGAAGAAGCCUGAGUCUAAGGAUCAGAAAGCAGGCUCAGUAAACGAGAAGACUGAACUUCUGUGGCAUGCAUGCAGAUGAAAUAUUUUCCGGUAAAGGGUCCCUGUUUUGUUAAGUGUGAGUUGUAGAGCAAGGUCUGCCAUGUCAUGAGCUCCACCAGCACAGAGCCUAUCCUAGAAAAUGGAAUUUUACAUAUUCAACAUUCCAGAGUAGGGAGAGGGAAAGAGACAUAAGGAAGAAUUUUUCUGUAUGGAUAUGAGCUGAGAUGCAUGACCUGCCCAAAGCUAGUUCUGGUCUAUGUGAUGAUGUAACACUUGAUACAGAGCACAUUCCAAAGCCUCUCCACUUGCUUUUAGAUACUAGACUGUGGUUGGCUCAAGCUACUGGUAAUGUAAUGCAGUGAUUGCUGCAGAUGUUAUCUGGAUCCCCUGGAGAACUUCUAACUGGAAAACGCAGACCAAAACAAAAAUAAAAAAGGCAAAGCUUCACCUAUGAACUUACUGUAUUGAAAUACUCCAGUCCAGAAGCACCAAAACCUUCAGCAAUUUCCCUUGUUGUGACCACACAAGACAUAGGGUGUCCAUUGCCAAUGGGCUUUCCCAUGGUGACGAUGUCGGGCACAAAGUCUUCACCUUGCAGCUGGAAUGCCCAAAAAUGCUUCCCAACUCUGCCAAAGCCAACCUGGACCUCAUCAGCUAUGAACACUCCACCUGCUGCACGCACAUACCUGAAAAGAAUCACAAUACCUUGAAAGUCUAGUGCUGCAGAACACGAGUAGGCAAUCAAGGACAAGACAGUCUGCAUCACAGAAAUUCUGCAGUGUGAGACCAAGUUAGGAAAAAAAGAAAGAAUACAGUUAUAGCUAUUUUAUAGCUAUGAAAUUUUUAGUAUGCUACAUGUUAAGGAAAAAAAAAAUGACAUUUUAAUGUCAAAUAGGAGUACUGUAAUGGUACUGUAGGAUUAUAACUGGUUUAACUUCAUCUUCCAUCAAAUUUAUGGCUGAGGAUUAAAGAUAGGAAAAGAAUAGCAAUUAUCUAGCUAAAAAUUAGCCAAUAUUCCAUUAAAAAAAUUGAACUGAAAUCAUACUCUCCAAUAAGCAGAAAUGAACCACAGAUAGCCAAGAACAGGAGAGGUUAAUGGCUGAAUUGAUUAGAUAAGUCUAUAGUGAAAAAAGCUAUUUCUUUGUUUAAUUUCCCCCUUACACCCCUCUGAAGUGCUGUACGUACUCUGCCACUUUCUGGAAAUAGCCCACAGGUGGAAUUACUUGGCCUCCACAGCUCUGCAUGGAUUCAGCUAUGAAGGCAGCAAUCUACAAGAGACAAACUCGUGUGAGAGCUGUGUUCAUCUACUUGGCCUUGGCAGA